rnacentral:rRNA from 1 species
UACCAGCACCCCGAGUGGUCGGGACGAUUAUUGGGCCUAAAGCAUCCGUAGCCGGUUCUGCAAGUCCCCCGUUAAAUCCAGCUGCUCAACAGAUGGGCCGCGGAGGAUACUACAGAGCUAGGAGGCAGGAGAGGCAAGCGGUACUCAGUGGGUAGGGGUAAAAUCCGUUGAUCCAUUGAAGACCACCAGUGGCGAAGGCGGCUUGCCAGAAUGCGCUCGACGGCGAGGGAUGAAAGCUGGGGGAGCAACCGG